rnacentral:lncRNA from 1 species
CGUAUCUCACAGGGACAUUGUUAUUGUUCAGCUGCUCAGUCAUGUCCAACUAUUUGCAACCCCAUAGACUGCAGCACGCUGGGCUUCCCUGUUCUUCAUCAUCUCCCAGAGUUUGCUCAAACUCAAGUCCAUUGAGUCAGCGAUGCCAUCCAACCAUGCCUACUUCCAUUUCCCAGAGUGAAUCAAAAUUCCUUGCAGAAUCUCUUACUGCGCAUGGGGAAGCUGUUUAGAAGGACAGAAGCCUUUGGGAAACGAAUGUCUCCUUACAGAGCACCUUAUCAUCAAAGGGAAUCUGUGAGCCUGAGCUUGUACGAACAUAUAAAAUGAG